UCUACACACGUGACACGGAAAUAAAUAAUUACAAAAUAUUCAAUAAUAUAAAAUAAUAUCAGUAAAUAAAUUUAGUUAACCAGUCUUUUUUUUUUAAAAAAAAAAAAGGUCAAUGAGGGACACGACACCCAAAUCCCCCCACCAUAUUACGCCACUGAAGACUAUACUAUGCAUUCGUGAGAGCAAUAUUGGAAUAUAAGUAAUACAAGUUACAACUCAUCUUUCCUAUACUCUAUAGUCUAUAGUGCAGCUAUGGUUUCUAUUAUUAUUAGCCAUUAGGUAACUUAAGAGUCUUACGAAGGUCUACACUCUAUAUUAUCUAAUAUAUACGUAUUAGGUACGUAUACAUAUUUUUGAGGGUUGCCAUUUUGCCAAUUAUGUUCUUUAAAUAAUCGAUUUUCUAGUAGCUCUUAUAAUUGACAUUUCUAUGCUUAGUUUCUUAAGCCUACCGUAAUUUAUAGGCUCAAAACUAAUUUAACUUUUAUUAUGAACGUGCUAAAUAGCAAAAUCGAUUCUCCUGUACGUUUUUAUUUUAAAUUACUGUCUCCCACCACAAAUUAUCAUUCUAUUUUAUUUCACAUUCCAAUUUUUAAUGCCUACCAUGCCAAAAACCAACCACUCCAUCCUUGCAUAUUACAAUCUGAUUUGGACCCCUUCUUUUCUUUUAAAUAGUUUUAGUUUAAUUACGUAUUAACUAUUAAAAAUAUAACAUGUUAUUUUCUUACUUCAUUUGUAUUAUUUGUUAUAGGUACUUAUAAAAGCUGUAUGGCGUUUAUUAUUAAAUAAAUAAAUAAUAAUUACUAUAAUAGUACUUACUUAUCUGGUUCACCACAAACUGUAGGUAUUCCUAGAGCUUCGUAUGUUUUCCCGAUUAUUUGUUUAUCUGGUAGAAAGCUAUAGUUGUUACCCAUUUAAAAAAAAAGUAUUAUUAUAAUUAUUAAUUAUCAUGUAAAGAGAGAUGUCUGUAAUUUUUUCCACACUUCAUCACACCAUAACGUGAUAAUAUCGAUCGAUAAGUACCUACCUACCUCAUUAUUUGUUUUGUGAUUUAUUAUUAUUUUAAAUGUUGUGAUGUUAUGAUUAUUAUGUGCAAAAUGUACCAAGAUGUUAUUUUAUGUAUAGUAUAACUAGUAUUUGUCAAUCAUAUUUAACUUUUUAGUCUCUAACACUUUAGUGAGACAAAAUCAUGUUACCUUUUUUUUUUUUUGAAAUUGUAAGCGCUAAUCGCCAUGCACGUUUUCUUAAAAUGAUUUUAUAGCGUGUGCGAACUAUACUGCAGGUGUUAUUUAAAAGCUAAAUUAUGUAUUAAGCAUUAAGUACAUCAAAGUAUACUCUAAUGUCGCAAAAAUUAUUAUUGUUUUCAAUUGUGCAUUUAUCAUAAAAUUGUUUAUUUAGUUUAACAUAAUAUAUGCCAUAUGGUAUUUAUUUCUCAUAAUUAUUAUAAUAAAAUAAUCCCAUUAAAAUGUAAUGAUAGUAAUGGUUGUAAAUUGUAAUAUAUAAAUAAAUUAUUUAAUAAGUGAACAGUGAUGUUAAUAAUAAAAUAAUGCUAUGUUGGCUGAAAAGAAGUGUAUAAAAAGUUGUGCUGGCCACAACAAUUGAUAUUUUUUAUUAUUAUAACAAAAAUAUCAAUAAUUUAUUUAUUACCUAAUACGUCUUGACAGUUUUCGAAAUUUUCGUUUCGUAUAUAGUCACAAGUUCUAUUAGUUUUACAUAAUCACUAGGUAUUCAUUUGUUAGCCGUUACAAUUUUAAAGGAAUACUACUUCCUCAGUGCCGGUUUUAUUUUAUUUUUCGAAGAAAAUUAAUUUAAAUAUUUUUCAUUUUUUUAUUUCUUAUAUAAUUAUAUAAUUUAUAAAUCAAGAAUAUUUUGGAUUAGACUUAAAUUAUUUUAGCGUUUUAAUAACUGCGUUUCUUAGACGUAAAUACAUCAAGCUUUUGUAUUCAAAAACGACAAAAAAUAAAGUUUACGAUGGGCCCGUGAAACAAUAAAAAUAGAACACCAUUCUCACAGCUAUUCAAGUUAAAUUAAGUAAUUGUGUUGUACUUGUAAUUUUCAAAAUGAAUGAAAUUAUAAUUUAUAUAUCGGAUUCAUCACUGUCAAGUGACGAUGAAGACAUUGUUAACUUUAUUGAACGAUUGAAUCGCCCAAGAAAAAAGCGAAUUUAUAGAAACCGCUUAGAUCAUUUCAGUACUUGGGAUGAGAUUGAAUUUUAUAAUCGGUUUUGUUUAUCAAAACGUGUUGUGAAUGUAAUAUUGGCAUUAAUUGUGGAUAAAAUCCAAUCUCCUACCAACAGGCAUGUUAAAAUUAAACGAAAUUAAAAACUUAAUAUAAAGGGAAAUUUAUUUAGGUAUAUCUUACAAAAACUAUUUUUAAUUUUUAGAAAUCAUGCCAUUACUCCUGAGAUGUUAUUAACAUUACGAUUUUUAGCAUCAGGAAAUAUGUUGAUCACUGUUGGAGACUUUAUUGGGAUUCAUAAAUCUACAGCUGGAAAAUUUGUUUGGAAAGUUUUAAAAGCCAUUGCUAUGUUGAGGUCUAAAUUUUUAACAUUUCCUAAUGAUGUUGAAGGGCUCAAAAUUUGCAGCAAGGAUUCUAUAAAAUAGCAAGGUUUCCAAAGGUCAUUGGAGCGUUGGAUUGUUCUCAUGUGAAGAUCCAAUCACCAGAAAACAGAAGGGCUUAGUUUUUUUAUUUUACAAAUCAAAGAAAUGUGUUUGUAUUGAACUUGAAAUCUGUAUUGGACCAUCAUCGAAUUCAUUGGAAGAUGUGAAAAACACAAAAUCAAAAAAUACGUUGAUCAAUUUCAUUGUUGAAGACAGAAUGACUUUCACAAGAAAUUAUUAAUCCAGAAUAGAAAAAUCCUAAUGUAAUGCAAAAAAUAACUACAGAUUUUAUAUAGGGAGGGAUAGAGAAUAUAUUAAAAAGGUGUUGUGCGAAACUGACAUCAUUUUGUUUCAUAAUUGCUGUCAAAGUAAUGCUAAUCGUUCAUGUAUUAAAAAUAUCAAUCAUGGUAGAAACAAGUUUUUGUUAUUUUCAAAAUAUUUAGUGAUACAACGAUUGAACAAAUCUAUCUAAAAAAAGAGAGUAGAAUUACCUAUGACAAUUAAGUUUUUAUUAUGUAUACCUAUUAUGUAACCUAUCGUUAUGUUUUACUGCAAGGUGUAUUGACGUCAUAAUUAGUACUAUACCAUUUUAAUUAAUAUUUAACUAUAACGUAUUUAUAAUUAACGAGAAUUGGUUAGGCUAUUUUUAACAUAAAGAAUUCGGUCAUACAUAGAAAUAAUAGUUAAUUUUUGUAUGGGAUCCGUUUCUAAUACUAACAUUACCUACAUACAAAUUUAAAAUACAGUCUUUUUUAAGAAACUAUAUAAAUAUUUUUUGAUAGUUUUUAAAAAAUUAACACAUUUUUUAAUAAUGAUUUAUAAUUUAUUUAAUUUUCGUCUAAUUUUUUUCAAAAAUUUGUUAAU